UACGGAAGGCAGCAGUGGGGAAUAUUGCACAAUGGGCGAAAGCCUGAUGCAGCUAUGCCGCGUGUAUGAAGAAGGCCUUAGGGUUGUAAAGUACUUUCAUCGGGGAGGAAAAACAAAACUAAUAAUUUUAUUUCUUGACGUUACCCGAAAAAGAAGCACCGGCUAACUCCGUGCCAGCAGCCGCGGUAAUACGGAGGGUGCUAGCGUUAAUCAGAAUUACUGGGCGUAAAGAGCACGUAGGUGGUUUUUUUAAGUCAGAUGUGAAAUCCCUGGGCUUAACCUAGGAACUGCAUUUUGAAACUGAAAUACUAGAGUAUCGUAGAGGGAGGUAGAAUUCUAGGUGUAGCGGUGAAAUGCGUAGAUAUCUGGAGGAACACCUGUGGCGAAAGCGGCCUCCUAAACGAAUACUGACACUGAGGUGCGAAAGCGUGGGGAGCAAACAGGGAUUAGAUACC
rnacentral:rRNA from 1 species